CUUUGUUCUAAUCAGGAUGCCAGAAAAUUUCCCGGUGGACCAGCAUACCUUCCCCACGGGGGAAAUGAGACACACAGAGGGGUGGAGUGAGAAACACAAAGUGGCUUGGUGGGGAGAAAGAGACACACAGAGGGGCUGGGAAAAGGCGAACAAGUGACACUCAGAGAGGCUGUGGGGAAAGAGACACACAGAGGUACUGGGGCAGAAGAAAGAGACAAAGAGGUGCUGGGGCAGAAGAAAGAGACACACAGACGGGCUGGGGAAGGGCAG